rnacentral:rRNA from 1 species
UACGUAGGGUGCAAGCGUUAAUCGGAAUUACUGGGCGUAAAGCGUGCGCAGGCGGUUUUGUAAGUCUGACGUGAAAUCCCCGGGCUCAACCUGGGAAUUGCGUUGGAGACUGCAAGGCUAGAAUCUGGCAGAGGGGGGUAGAAUUCCACGUGUAGCAGUGAAAUGCGUAGAGAUGUGGAGGAACACCGAUGGCGAAGGCAGCCCCCUGGGCCAAGAUUGACGCUCAUGCACGAAAGCGUGGGGAGCAAACAGG